UACGGAGGAGGCAAGCGUUAUCCGGACUUAUUGGGCGUAAAGCGUCCGCAGGUGGCACCUCAAGUCUGCUGUCAAAGACCGGGGCUUAACCCCAGAAAGGCAGUGGAAACUGAAGCGCUAGAGUGCAGUAGGGGUAGAGGGAAUUCCCGGUGUAGCGGUGAAAUGCGUAGAGAUCGGGAAGAACAUCGGUGGCGAAAGCGCUCUGCUGGACUGCAACUGACACUCAGGGACGAAAGCUAGGGGAGCGAAUGGG
rnacentral:rRNA from 1 species